rnacentral:rRNA from 1 species
UACGGAGGGUGCGAGCGUCAAUCGGAAUUACUGGGCGUAAAGCGCACGUAGGUGGAUAUUUAAGUUGGAUGUGAAAUCCCUGGGCUUAACCUAGGAAUUGCAUUCAAUACUGGAUGUCUAGAGUAUAGUAGAGGGAAGUGGAAUUUCUGGUGUAGCGGUGAAAUGCGUAGAUAUCAGAAGGAACAUCAGUGGCGAAAGCGGCUUCCUGGACUAAUACUGACACUUAGGUGCGAAAGCGUGGGGAGCAAACAGG